GAAAACAUUGUUACCAAAAUAUGGUCUUAAAAGAUCUGACAUAUUCAUAACUAGCAAGCUUGUAAUUGGUGAAGAGAGGACACGUAUUCCUUAAUAGACAAGACGACACUGCUUCUGCCUACAAGAAUGAAGAAGACAUCGGAAAAAGCUUGAAAACAUUGUUACCAAAAUAUGGUCUUAAAAGAUCUGACAUAUUCGUAACUAGCAAGCUUGACACUGCUUCUGCCUACAAGAAUGAAGAAGACAUCGGAAAAAGCUUGAAAACAUUGUUACCAAAAUAUGGUCUUAAAAGAUCUGAC